CACGGUGUUUAUUUACACUGCCGGAAACUCAUUCCUUAUGUCUUUGCUUGGCUAAUUCCUAUUGAUUAUCAUUGCUUCAUCUGACAAAGUUACUCCUGCCUUCCACACGCCAACUUCCUUUUAAUGUUGCUGGAGCAGAACAUUUUCUAGGAAGCCGUUCUUCACCCCAGUUUCUAGUGAAAAGUUCUU